GACCGGGAUAACCUUGGGAAACUGAGGAUAAUACUGGAUAGGCAAUUAUUCCUGUAAUGGUUUUUUGUUUAAAUGUUUUUUCGCCUAAGGAUGGGUCUGCGGCCGAUUAGGUAGUUGGUUAGGUAAUGGCUUACCAAGCCGUUGAUCGGUACGGGUUGUGAGAGCAAGAGCCCGGAGAUGGAACCUGAGACAAGGUUCCAGGCCCUACGGGGUGCAGCAGGCGCGAAACCUCCGCAAUGUGAGAAAUCGCGACGGGGGGAUCCCAAGUGCCAUUCUUAACGGGAUGGCUUUUCAUUAGUGUAAAGAGCUUUUGGAAUAAGAGCUGGGCAAGACCGGUGCCAGCCGCCGCGGUAACACCGGCAGCUCUAGUGGUAACAAUUUUUAUUGGGCCUAAAGCGUCCGUAGCCGGUUUAAUAAGUCUCUGGUGAAAUCCUGUAGCUUAACUGUGGGAAUUGCUGGAGAUACUAUUAGACUUGAGACCGGGAGAGGUUAGAGGUACUCCCAGGGUAGAGGUGAAAUUCUGUAAUCCUGGGAGGACCGCCUGUUGCGAAGGCGUCUAACUGGAACGGUUCUGACGG
rnacentral:rRNA from 1 species